GAGGAUGAUAAUUCACCCCAAGAAGCCUUUUUCACAUGUGAUAAGCUUGGCAAGCUGCCUUGGAUUUUUGUG
rnacentral:lncRNA from 1 species